GGGCCCUCUGGGUCCAACCUCCCACCCGUGUCUAUCGUACCUUGUUGCUUCGGCGGGCCCGCCGUUUCGACGGCCGCCGGGGAGGCCUUGCGCCCCCGGGCCCGCGCCCGCCGAAGACCCCAACAUGAACGCUGUUCUGAAAGUAUGCAGUCUGAGUUGAUUAUCGUAAUCAGUUAAAACUUUCAACAACGGAUCUCUUGGUUCCGGCAUCGAUGAAGAACGCAGCGAAAUGCGAUAAGUAAUGUGAAUUGCAGAAUUCAGUGAAUCAUCGAGUCUUUGAACGCACAUUGCGCCCCCUGGUAUUCCGGGGGGCAUGCCUGUCCGAGCGUCAUUGCUGCCCUCAAGCACGGCUUGUGUGUUGGGCCCCCGUCCCCCUCUCCCGGGGGACGGGCCCGAAAGGCAGCGGCGGCACCGCGUCCGGUCCUCGAGCGUAUGGGGCUUUGUCACCUGCUCUGUAGGCCCGGCCGGCGCCAGCCGACACCCAACUUUAUUUUUCUAAGGUUGACCUCGGAUCAGGUAGGGAUACCCGCUGAACUUAAGCAUAUCAAUAAGCGGAGGAAAAGAAACCAACAGGGAUUGCCUCAGUAACGGCGAGUGAAGCGGCAAGAGCUCAAAUUUGAAAGCUGGCCCCUUCGGGGUCCGCGUUGUAAUUUGCAGAGGAUGCUUCGGGUGCAGCCCCCGUCUAAGUGCCCUGGAACGGGCCGUCAUAGAGGGUGAGAAUCCCGUCUGGGACGGGGUGUCUGCGUCCGUGUGAAGCUCCUUCGACGAGUCGAGUUGUUUGGGAAUGCAGCUCUAAAUGGGUGGUAAAUUUCAUCUAAAGCUAAAUACUGGCCGGAGACCGAUAGCGCACAAGUAGAGUGAUCGAAAGAUGAAAAGCACUUUGAAAAGAGAGUUAAACAGCACGUGAAAUUGUUGAAAGGGAAGCGUUUGCGACCAGACUCGCCCGCGGGGUUCAGCCGGCAUUCGUGCCGGUGUACUUCCCCGUGGGCGGGCCAGCGUCGGUUUGGGCGGCCGGUCAAAGGCCCUCGGAAUGUAUCACCUCUCGGGGUGUCUUAUAGCCGAGGGUGCAAUGCGGCCUGCCUGGACCGA
rnacentral:rRNA from 1 species